AAUACAUCCAACCGUUAGGGGGAGCUCUCACAGCUGCUUAAGGCCAAGCCAAGCACAUGGCAGAUAACUUUUACUUGCAGUCUCCUGCAGUAUCUCUUUAUUGGUGAAUACAGAAGCUCAGGGGAAACAUCACUAUCGGUUUCUCUGACCUUUGUGCUUCAUGGCCUGGAGGAGAUGUGUGCAGAUCUGACAUAGAGGCUUAGGAUGAUGAGAGGCUGCUUGCUUGGACUCAAACCAUAUUAAGAUGACAGCUGGUUCUCCACGCCAUAUUCAUUGUUAAAGGGCUCAUAUCAUGAGGAAUCAAAUUCUCCUUGAUCUUUGGAGAUAAAAGAUGUACUUGAUGUACCGUGAAAACAUACUUUAACUUUCAGAAGUCAAAACUUCCUUCUAAGUUGCAAAAUCAAAAUUGUUGGCUUCACUUAUGCUGUAAGUGGACAUUGGAAAAAAGAUUAAAAACAAAAAAUAUAUA